CUGCCCCUCUUCUGCUGGGGCGGUCCUCCCAGGAAGAGGUCUUCGGGCAGGCCGGACAAGCCACCCACAAGGAGGUUGUGAUGGCUACUCUAAGAGGAACCAGGCAAGGCCAGGCCCACCAGACUGGCCACAGGGUCUUUGCAGUUUAGGGCCUCAGGCCCUCAGCCUCUUCCUACAGCAAGGCCCCAGCCCCAGACCUGCACUUGCUUUCCCACAGAGGCCAGUCCCUGGCAAGGUCCCUUCUUUCACAAUGCAUCACCUCCUUUCAGACCACUGGGGACAAUCCUCCCCUGGGAAAUGCCAUACUCUUCUGGCCUCUUUCCUCUCAACCUCCAACCCAGAGUAAGCCCAUCAUCGUGCGAUGCAACAGUCCAUGUUUAUCUGAAUCUCACUGACUGGAGUCAACAGCAGUCCAAACAUAGGAAGUGCCACUUGAAGCUGUGCCUCAGUGUUCCUCAUCUGACAACCCACCGCAGGUGCAGGGCUCACGCCCACAGCCGCCCAUCCCCUGGCAUCCGUUCUCAUAUGCAUGGUGAAGUGGUCCUUCAUCAUUGCCUUGCCAGUUCGAUGGACCUGCUCAGGAUCUCUGCAGAGGACAGAGACCAGCGCCCGCACAAGGACCCUGCAAGUAUCUGGGGUUGGACCAGUCCUGCAACAGACCCACCCCUUCCCCAGGUGCAGACCACCCUGGCCGUGUGCAUUCUGGCCGAGAGCUACCAGGAAGACAAGGCUAUCAUUAACAGCCCACUAGUAAUUUGCAAAAUCAUGAGCACAAACAAAAACUUCAUGCCAAAUUGGCAUUUUCCUCACUUUACAACACACAACCACAUCCGUAUUGUAUGAUCACAUGACAGGCCUGGGCAGCCCGCAGAGCAUGUAUUACCCUUUCUGUUUUCAGAGGAGGAAACUGAGGCUUGCCAGCCAGUGAGUGGCUGACAGAGCCAAAUUUAGAAGGCCAGGGACAUCCUGCCUCUGUUGGAAAUCCUCCAACCACUGGACCUACACAUCUUUUCCAUCCCCAAAAAGCAUGGAGGUGACCACCAGGGACAGACUGUGUCCCUUUGUAAAGAUUCCCACAGGAUUUAUGGCCGCUGGAGUGAACCCUGCAGUGGCCUUAGCAAAGCUGCUGGUUCUGUUCAGAGAAGGUGGGAGUCAGGAGCAGCUGAACCAGCUGACCCCCAGGGCUGUAGGAGGGACAGCUCACUGCCACCCAGUGGGCCUGGCUGGUUGCACUCCUCAGCUAGGAACCCCCCUUGGGGCUGACCCUGAUACUAAAGAUAGGUUUAGCUGACUGCACAGGAGGAAGAGCUGGCAGGAGGGAUCCCAAGUCAGCCACCUUCCACUGCCAGCAGCAGCAGGUGCAGGUGCAGUCAGUCCCCUCACAGGACUCAGAUCUUUCUCCCUGGGAUCUUGCAAAGGGCCCAAGGUUACACAUGUGUUUGGAAACUAGCAGUAUAUGGAAAAAACAAAGAAAAGCCAGGAUGGGGCUACAAAACUUGUAUGUUUAAAAUGUUUUCAUGGAACACAUUAAUGCUUAUAUAACACUAUGCACUGAGAAACUAAAGCAGAUACCUUAAAGCAACUGAGGCCAAUAGGAAAAGGGGACCAGGAACUAAUUCUUCAAAAAGAAUUAACCUAGAAGGUAACACCCACGCACAGGAAAUCAAUGUGAGUCAAUGCCCUGUAUAGCUAUCCUUAUCUCAACCAGCAAAAACCCUUGUUCCUUCCUAUUAUUGCUUAUAC
rnacentral:lncRNA from 1 species